CCUGUGUCGGGUAAAUGGGAGACGUGAGGUUGUGCCACUGGGGGAGAAUUGUCCCAGGGCUAUUCAACAGUCCAGAGUCUUGGGCCGUUCCAACCUAUAUCUGCUUCCAAAGUGAGCAGCAGCCCCAGCCGAUGAAUCCUUUGCACGUGGAGGAAAGGCAGCCUGAAGAAGGCCAUAGGCAGCCCCAAGUGGCGAUGUAAGUGAUCUUGAGCGUACUCGGAUGUGCAAAAUAUAACACCAAUAAUAAAAGAUUUUGCUACAAGU